AGCUUUGCGCAGUGGCAGUAUCAUAGCCAAUGAGGUUUAUCCAAGAUGAGAUUAUCGCUAAUUGAAAACUUUCCCCACUACCCCGCCAUGAUGACAUGCAAAUAGAGUCGGCAUUGACAAUUUUUGGCAGUCCCUAGGGA
ensembl:snRNA U4 U4 spliceosomal RNA